AAAUUGAAGAGUUUGAUCAUGGCUCAGAUUGAACGCUGGCGGCAGGCCUAACACAUGCAAGUCGAACGGUAACAGGAAGCAGCUUGCUGCUUCGCUGACGAGUGGCGGACGGGUGAGUAAUGUCUGGGAAACUGCCUGAUGGAGGGGGAUAACUACUGGAAACGGUGGCUAAUACCGCAUAACGUCGCAAGACCAAAGAGGGGGACCUUCGGGCCUCUUGCCAUCAGAUGUGCCCAGAUGGGAUUAGCUUGUUGGUGAGGUAACGGCUCACCAAGGCGACGAUCCCUAGCUGGUCUGAGAGGAUGACCAGCCACACUGGAACUGAGACACGGUCCAGACUCCUACGGGAGGCAGCAGUGGGGAAUAUUGCACAAUGGGCGCAAGCCUGAUGCAGCCAUGCCGCGUGUAUGAAGAAGGCCUUCGGGUUGUAAAGUACUUUC
rnacentral:rRNA from 3 species